CUGAAGAUGAAAUGAAACUGGAAAGCAGCAUAGAUUCAGCUGUAUUUUCUCAACAACAUCAUCAAUCAUACAAUACCGAUUCACUCGAAAAUAAGAGGGGAUCAACUGGAAAAUCUGAAAAAUCACUAUCAAUUGAAGUAUCUGUUGCUGACCCCGAUUCCCCAUUGAACUUGAUGAACGAAAAUACUGUAAUUGGGUUAGUUGAUGAGAAUAAUACUAUAGAACAUCAUCCUAAUGAUGUGGAUUCAUUAAAAAAUAAUGAUUUCUCAACAGACGUCGGUCCAAACUCUAUUUUGAACGCACACAAUGAUUUGAAACCUGUCGUAGUUUCGACAAUUGAUGAAAAAAAGUUGAAUCCUUUUCGACAAACAACUUCUAAUAAUAAUGUUAUUCCAAUUUUAGAACACGCAAAUCCUAUGGAGCCAGCGAUUGGGUUUAAAAUGACCGAUCGCAAAAUAUCGCAAUUCAACCCUUGGAAUAUACAUACCACUGAGUGCCCAUUGAAUAAAUAUCGCCAGAAUAGCACGCCCCACAAUAAGUAUCUUCAUGUGUUAAAGUUUGAGGGCGAUUCAAGUAGAGAACAUAUGGAACGUUUAAAGGAUGCUUCAGCCUCCAAUAGACACACAGUGAAGCUUGAAGGUAUUGAGCCCAGUGAAGAGUCAAACAAUUCGAAUAAGGCUAAUCCACAAAAACGAAAUACAUACAAAAGUACAGGUGCAAAAGAACCUGGAACAACCAGUACAAUCAUAAACAAACGGAAGAAAAGUAACGUGAAAAGGCAAGCUUCUCCGAAUGGAAAUCAAAUCAGAGGAGGCCAAAGCUGUUUAGAGCGUAAUACUCCACCGGGUGUGGAUCCAAUCACAUACCAUGAGAGUGCUCAUUGCUUGCGCUAUAGUGAUCUGUGGUAUACUGUUUAUCACUUGAGAAGGCCUUUUGUUGAACACUCGGUGCGAUUGAAACUUUAUGAAAAGUAUGACUAUCAUGACAAAAAUACGCACUGGGAUGAAAUAACUGCCGGAAGGCAGACCAACGUGGGAACAUUUAGCCGUGUUGUUCAAGAUGAAACGCCAACAUUCUCUUUCACUUACAUGCCGAGCUCAGAUCAAGUGCUCGGUCCUUUCCAGCUAGACACCGAUAAAAGCACGUUGCUAGUUCCUCAACCAGUCAGCGAUCAACUCCAAGAUAAAUAUCCACAGGCGAGAGCUGGUCCCAGUGAAUAUCUUCUGCUGAAGAGCGACCAAAUCACACAGGAUGGAGACGAAUGCGAUAAGGUCGGAGUUGGCUUCUCAGCGUUCGCAAAGCAACCCGACAGAUGCAGUCACGUGCGGGGCACAUGUCUCACCAAUCAACCUCUACAUCUAUGGCAGCAUGAUCAUGAGGCUCUGGCAAACGACAAGCCAGGAAAGUAUUUCCUGAAAAACUUUGCGUGUAUAUCGUUGAACCCUUUCAUAGUGAACAAAUCCAAUAGCGACGAAUUCCUGGCCAUUGAUUAUCAUAAUCCCUACUCAGCAACGAUUGAAAUCGAAGUCAAGUCUGAUUUUAAUGGCAUCAUUCGACCAGGGAUAGGAGCCCAGUUACCCGAAGUGUACGUAGAUGCGACAUGCGAUUUCAACACGAAAAUAAUCGUCACGAUUGCGAACAUGGGUCUGGCGUCGGCUCGAUUCUUCCCAAGGUUAGCCAAUUGUCCAGGAGGCUUGCCCGAGGUGUGGCUGACCGCUCAGAGCCCGGCAUUCAUGAUCGCGCCGCAACACCAGCACAGGUUCCAUCUGUCUCUGUUUGGCACGCUUCCCAUCGGCCGCUUCCACUGUUCAAUUGACGUUUUGAACGACAACCACGAGAUAGUGGCAACCAGGCGAAUCCGCAUCCAGAGGUACGAUCGUUGCUUCUGCCUGUUUCAUUGCCUGUGCGCCUGUAGCGCAUCCAGCAAAGGACUCAGUUGCGACCAAAUGUCCAUCGAACAUUACCAUGCGGCUGGAUUUAUGGGAUCCCUGCCUAUUCCAAUAGUUUUUGAACAAAAGUCUGUUUUUGAAAAGAAUUUCAAUUUUUGGAGCUAUCUGUUGAUAGCUUUCUUGAUUGGUCCUCUGCUGCUUGGUUUUUUGAAAGCGUUAUCGGGCGUGUGUUGUUGUACAACGAUCAGCUCAGCUGGCAUGUCAUUGGUGGGUGCAGGAAAAGCCAAGACUGCGGCCAGCCAAGAGGAAGGGGAGGGGGAAGACGCAAGCAAGUCAGCUGAAGAUGGCCAGCAACAACCCAAUCCAGUAAUGCAAUUCUGCUUGAAUAUUUUCAUAUUCUUCUAUCUGAUAUUUGUGGUGAUCGUAAAACUCUUGAGUGUUUUAUGUUCAAUUUUCUGCUGUUUUGCAAUCUGUGCAAUUUUUAAUAAAAGAGAUUCUGGAGAUUCUGAAUCGGGGAAGCGUAAAAGCUCUGUGAGUGAAAGGUCUCAACUACCAUCCACUGACGAAGAGCGUCAUGUGAGUUUUGAUGAUGAUGCUGAUGCUGAUGAUGUUGACGGCGAAGGUGAAGGUGAAGAUGGCGAAGGAGACGGAGAUGAGGAUGAGGAUGAAGAAGAUGGUGAAGAGGAAGAGGAUGAGGAUGAGGAAGAUGAUGGUGAACCAGAUGUUCUGAAGAUAACUGGGGGCGACAGUCUGGAUGACGAUGCUGACAUCGAUCUCCUUGAAUAUUUCAACACAACGCUGUAUCAGAAUACGAAUCGAGAGUGGCGGAGAGCUUCAUUGAUCUGCUUCUUGAGUCUGAGGAGGUGUACAGGCACUUCAGUGAGCCAGUGGGCGACAUCAUAAUGCCUGAAGGCUUCGAGUAUUGCAUACGAGGAUUCUUGGUCAAGAGUGACACGGGAUACUUUUUCAUUCCACCCUCGCCAUUGCUACAAUACUGGACACACGACAAGCAGUUGAUGGAGCCACCGCAGCCACUGGCAUUUGCAGACUUCGAAAAAGCGUACGACUCGGCAAUCGAUGUGCUCAUCAGCUAUGACCUUGAUUUGAUGCCCAAUGGACCGGCCGUCAAUGUCUACCAUCUUUGAGAAAGUUGUUAAAAUAAACAGUCAGUCUUGAAUUCUCCACCGUUUUCUUAAUUGGUGUAAAAAUGUUCAAAUAAAUUAGUCUACUCUAUAGGAAAGAUUGAAUAAUAAAAAAUACUUGGUAGUUUUGGAUUGAAA
rnacentral:misc_RNA from 1 species